UACGUAGGGGGCAAGCGUUGUCCGGAUUUAUUGGGCGUAAAGCGCUCGCAGGCGGCUCGAUGCGUCGUGCGUGAAACACCCCGGCUCAACUGGGGAGGGUCGUGCGAUACGGGCUGGCUAGAGGCAGGCAGGGGAGAACGGAAUUCCCGGUGUAGCGGUGAAAUGCGCAGAUAUCGGGAGGAACACCGGUGGCGAAGGCGGUUCUCUGGGCCUGUACUGACGCUGAGGAGCGAAAGCGUGGGGAGCGAACAGG
rnacentral:rRNA from 1 species